GUUCUUCUUCAUAGUCACAGAAACAAUGAAGAAGGUUUGUGGUGAUCAGUGUGCCAGAUGCUUGUGUUUGAUGUCUACAAGCAACACCGUUGAUUGGUAAGCAAUCAAUUACAUGUGGAUUGUAGAAUGUGUAACGUAAGGGCAUACGUCUCUGUCUCUUUUGUUGCUGCUUGAUCCAGGCUAAUCUCAAACUCAGUACGGACCUAAGAAUAACCUCCACCUCUGAGUACCAGGAUUGCAGAAGACCUGCCAUACAGAGGACUCUCAAUGCCAUGUGUUUUAUGAGCGAUGACCUCUGCCCUUGACUCUGAGAUCACAAUCACAAGGGUCUAUCAGAAAAGAAGCUGUGAUUACCUGAAAGAAAGCAGCUGCCCGUCAAUUGGCCCACCUCCUGGGAGCUUCCUGGACUCACACCUAUGAUAAUAUCCUGAGGAACAUGACAUGUAUUUUCAUAAAGGAAACAGGAGGAUUCCAAUGGUAGG
rnacentral:lncRNA from 1 species